ACACUUAACUUGGUACAGAAACACAAUGAUCAUGAAGGUGGUUUUCUUGGGCGAAGCUUAUCCAUUGCAUUCCAGACAUGCUGACCCCCUGGAUUUCUCCAAAUGUGAGAAAUUCCACUGUAUAAUUUCUGGUGUAAGAGACUGUAUUCAUGCUUCCCCUGA
rnacentral:snRNA from 1 species